UCCCUAUCCGCUGUGCGCGUAGGAGUCUUGAGAAGGGCUGUCCCUAGUACGAGAGGACCGGGACGGACGAACCUCUGGUGUGCCAGUUGUUCUGCCAAGGGCAUGGCUGGUUGGCUACGUUCGGGAGGGAUAACCGCUGAAAGCAUCUAAGCGGGAAGCCUGCUUCGAGAUGAGGACUCCCACCCACUUGAUGGGGUAAGGCUCCCAGUAGACGACUGGGUUGAUAGGCCGGAUAUGGAAGCACGGUAACGUGUGGAGUUGACCGGUACUAAUAGGCCGAGGGCUUGUCCUCAGUUG
rnacentral:rRNA from 1 species